UGGGGAAUUUUGGACAAUGGGCGAAAGCCUGAUCCAGCAAUGCCGCGUGUGUGAAGAAGGCCUUCGGGUUGUAAAGCACUUUUGUCCGGAAAGAAAUCCUUGGCUCUAAUACAGUCGGGGGAUGACGGUACCGGAAGAAUAAGCACCGGCUAACUACGUGCCAGCAGCCGCGGUAAUACGUAGGGUGCAAGCGUUAAUCGGAAUUACUGGGCGUAAAGCGUGCGCAGGCGGUUUGCUAAGACCGAUGUGAAAUCCCCGGGCUCAACCUGGGAACUGCAUUGGUGACUGGCAGGCUAGAGUAUGGCAGAGGGGGGUAGAAUUCCACGUGUAGCAGUGAAAUGCGCAGAGAUGUGGAGGAAUACCGAUGGCGAAGGCAGCCCCCUGGGCCAAGUACUGACGCUCAUGCACGAAAGCGUGGGGAGCAAACAGGAUUAGAUACCCUGGUAGUCCACGCCCCUAAACGAUGUCAACUAGUUGUUGGGGAUUCAUUUCCUUAGUAACGUAGCUAACGCGUGAAGUUGACCGCCUGGGGAGUACGGUCGCAAGAUUAAAACUCAAAUGAAUUGACGGGGUCAUGCUGUUUCCU
rnacentral:rRNA from 1 species